rnacentral:lncRNA from 1 species
GGUCUUCUUGUCCUAGACGCUCCUAGCUUGUCUUAGACGCUCCUAGCUUGGUCUUAGACGCUCUUGACUUGGCUCUUGCCUUUCAUGGAAGGUUGUGCUUGGCCCUCUUCCAUCAUCCCCUCCCUCUUGAAAAGGAUUUGUCCUCAAAUCCAAUGCUUUUGCUUCCUAGGGGGAUGGUUGUGGCUGGAUGGUGUCCAUCAUCUCCUCCUUCUUGAGAAGAU